rnacentral:lncRNA from 10 species
GGAAGGUGAACUUGAGGCACAGCACGGAACAGAAAAGUACUGCACUCUUGUCUAAGUAAUUUAGUUAUGCACCUAUUCAACAAAUGUUUAUCAAGUCCCUAUUAUAUUUUAGACAGAGCUCAAGGAGCCAGGUAUCUUACCAUAUGUGCUAGUGAAUAAAAUGAAAAGAAUACUUCUCUUCAUGGAACAUGGAGUGAGCCUGAGGAGUGAGAAGAUUAAGCGAAUAAUUUUACAAUUUCCUUCAAGUAGUUUGAGAUGGCGGGUCUUGCUAUGUUGCCUAGACUGGACUUAAACCCCGGGCCUCAAGCAAUCCUCAUGUCUUGAACUCCCAAAAUGCUGGGAUUACUGUCAUGAGCCACCAUUCCUUGCCAAAAUUUAAGUUAUACAUACAGGAGACUCUUACCUGCAUUGUAUACAACACUAGACCACUACUUGUAUUAAAACAAAUAUAUCUACAUAGAUAGAUAUUUUCCACACAUAUGCACAAAUGUGUGCAUAUCUAAGUCAAGAAAUGUGUGACAGUGUAUAUUGGGUCUAUGGCCAAUGAACUAUCAGCCAUGUUUUGUAAUAAAACAACUAGUUGGAGAAUUAAUAUCUUCCAAAAGCAAGAAUAUACAUUUAUGUUGUUUGAUUUUUCCCUUCAGAACUUCAUGACUCAAGAAAAACAUCAACUAUGUGUGACUAAAAUAAAUUCAUAAGAAAUAGUCUAAAAGGGGAUAGAUGCUGUUGUUUAUGUACUUAAUGCUAUUCUAAUUUUAAAAAAUGUGGUCUGCAUUCCAUUAAACCAAUUUUAUAAACCAAUAAUGUGUCAUGUCUUAUAUUAAUAAUCCUGAGGUCUAGGUGUGUCAGUGUGUUCAAGGAGUUUUCAACUAAGAGGUAUGUCUACUCCUUAGAAUCUCUUUUGGAAUAGUGGAUCUUAGCUAUUUCUUUAUUCAAUAAAAACUGAGGCAUUCAGGUGUAGAAGUCCAUGGAUAUAUUAAUGGCAUCAAAUAAAAUGAAGUAUUUAAAAG